rnacentral:rRNA from 1 species
UACGGAGGAUCCAAGCGUUAUCCGGAUUUAUUGGGUUUAAAGGGUGCGUAGGUGGUUCAUUAAGUCAGGGGUGAAGACGGCAGCUUAACUGUCGCAGUGCCUUUGAUACUGAUGAACUUGAAUGAACUAGAGGUAGGCGGAAUGUGACAAGUAGCGGUGAAACGCAUAGAUAUGUCACAGAACACCAAUUGCGAAGGCAGCUUACUAUGGUUUGAUUGACACUGAGGCACGAAAGCGUGGGGAUCAAACAGG